rnacentral:rRNA from 1 species
AGCGAACGCUGGCGGCAGGCCUAACACAUGCAAGUCGAACGGUUCCUUCGGGAUUAGUGGCGGACGGGUGAGUAACACGUGGGAACGUGCCCUUUGGUUCGGAACAACUCAGGGAAACUUGAGCUAAUACCGGAUGUGCCCUUCGGGGGAAAGAUUUAUCGCCAUUGGAGCGGCCCGCGUCUGAUUAGCUAGUUGGUGAGGUAAAGGCUCACCAAGGCGACGAUCAGUAGCUGGUCUGAGAGGAUGAUCAGCCACAUUGGGACUGAGACACGGCCCAAACUCCUACGGGAGGCAGCAGUGGGGAAUCUUGCGCAAUGGGCGAAAGCCUGACGCAGCCAUGCCGCGUGAAUGAUGAAGGUCUUAGGAUUGUAGAAUUCUUUCACCGGGGACGAUAAUGACGGUACCCGGAGAAGAAGCCCCGGCUAACUUCGUGCCAGCCGCCGCAGUAA